rnacentral:sRNA from 1 species
UUUUAGCCCCGAUAGCAGUAGAAAUCCUUUUCUUUUUGUCAUUUUGAGCGCAGUCGAAAAGCAAAAAGAAAAGAUUGUAACGGAUAGCGGGUGUGAUC